rnacentral:rRNA from 1 species
UACGUAGGGUGCGAGCGUUGUCCGGAAUUAUUGGGCGUAAAGAGCUUGUAGGUGGCUCGUUGCGUCGGGAGUGAAAACCUGCGGCUUAACCGCAGGCCUGCUUCCGAUACGGGCGAGCUAGAGUUCGGCAGGGGAGACUGGAAUUCCUGGUGUAGCGGUGGAAUGCGCAGAUAUCAGGAGGAACACCGGUGGCGAAGGCGGGUCUCUGGGCCGAUACUGACACUGAGACGCGAAAGCGUGGGGAGCAAACAGG